GUAGAAUUCCAGGUGUAGCGGUGAAAUGCGUAGAGAUCUGGAGGAAUACCGGUGGCGAAGGCGGCCCCCUGGACGAAGACUGACGCUCAGGUGCGAAAGCGUGGGGAGCAAACAGGAUUAGAUACCCUGGUAGUCCACGCCGUAAACGAUGUCGACUUGGAGGUUGUGCCCUUGAGGCGUGGCUUCCGGAGCUAACGCGUUAAGUCGACCGCCUGGGGAGUACGGCCGCAAGGUUAAAACUCAAAUGAAUUGACGGGGGCCCGCACAAGCGGUGGAGCAUGUGGUUUAAUUCGAUGCAACGCGAAGAACCUUACCUGGUCUUGACAUCCACGGAAGUUUUCAGAGAUGAGAAUGUGCCUUCGGGAACCGUGAGACAGGUGCUGCAUGGCUGUCGUCAGCUCGUGUUGUGAAAUGUUGGGUUAAGUCCCGCAACGAGCGCAACCCUUAUCCUUUGUUGCCAGCGGUCCGGCCGGGAACUCAAAGGAGACUGCCAGUGAUAAACUGGAGGAAGGUGGGGAUGACGUCAAGUCAUCAUGGCCCUUACGACCAGGGCUACACACGUGCUACAAUGGCGCAUACAAAGAGAAGCGACCUCGCGAGAGCAAGCGGACCUCAUAAAGUGCGUCGUAGUCCGGAUUGGAGUCUGCAACUCGACUCCAUGAAGUCGGAAUCGCUAGUAAUCGUGGAUCAGAAUGCCACGGUGAAUACGUUCCCGGGCCUUGUACACACCGCCCGUCACACCAUGGGAGUGGGUUGCAAAAGAAGUAGGUAGCUUAACCUUCGGGAGGGCGCUUACCACUUUGUGAUUCAUGACUGGGGUGAAGUCGUAACAAGGUAACCGUAGGGGAACCUGCGGUUGGAUCACCUCCUUACCUUAAAGAAG
rnacentral:rRNA from 1 species